AGGACGAACGCUGGCGGCGUGCUUAACACAUGCAAGUCGAGCGGUAAGGCUCCUUCGGGAGUACACGAGCGGCGAACGGGUGAGUAACACGUGAGUAAUCUGCCCUCCACUUCGGGAUAAGUGCCGGAAAACGGCGUCUAAUACCGAAUACGACGCACUCUCGCAUGAGAUACGCGUGGAAAGUUUUAUCGGUGGAGGAUGUGCUCGCGGCCUAUCAGCUUGUUGGUGAGGUAACGGCUCACCAAGGCUUCGACGGGUAGCCGGCCUGAGAGGGUGACCGGCCACACUGGGACUGAAAUAUGGUCCAGAGCCCUACGGGGUUUAGCAUGGAGGAAUCUUGCGCAACGGGGGCAACCCCGGCGCAGCAACGCCGCGUGGGGGAGGAAGGCCUUCGGGUCGUAAACCCUCGUUGUCCGGAAGAAGUACUCGGGGGAGAGCCCUCGGGGAAGACGGUACCGGACGAGGAAGCCCGGCUAACUACGUGCCAGCAGCCGC
rnacentral:rRNA from 1 species